rnacentral:rRNA from 1 species
GGUUAAGUGACUAAGCGUACACGGUGGAUGCCCUGGCAGUCAGAGGCGAUGAAGGACGUGCUAAUCUGCGAAAAGCGUCGGUAAGGUGAUAUGAACCGUUAUAGCCGGCGAUGUCCGAAUGGGGAAACCCAGUGCAAUUCGUUGCACUAUCGUUAACUGAAUACAUAGGUUAACGAGGCGAACCGGGGGAACUGAAACAUCUAAGUACCCCGAGGAAAAGAAAUCAACCGAGAUUCCCCCAGUAGCGGCGAGCGAACGGGGAGCAGCCCGGAGUCUGAAUCAGCUUGUGUGUUAGUGGAAGCGUCUGGAAAGUCGCAGGGUACAGGGUGAUACUCCCGUACACUAAAACACACAGGUUGUGAACUCGAAGAGUAGGGCGGGACACGUGGUAUCCUGUCUGAAUAUGGGGGGACCAUCCUCCAAGGCUAAAUACUCCUGACUGACCGAUAGUGAACCAGUACCGUGAGGGAAAGGCGAAAAGAACCCCGGCGAGGGGAGUGAAAAAGAACCUGAAACCGUGUACGUACAAGCAGUAGGAGCCCACUUGUUGGGUGACUGCGUACCUUUUGUAUAAUGGGUCAGCGACUUAUAUUCUGUAGCAAGGUUAACCGUAUAGGGGAGCCGCAGGGAAACCGAGUCUUAACUGGGCGUUAAGUUGCAGGGUAUAGACCCGAAACCCGGUGAUCUAGCCAUGGGCAGGUUGAAGGUUGGGUAACACUAACUGGAGGACCGAACCGACUAAUGUUGAAAAAUUAGCGGAUGACUUGUGGCUGGGGGUGAAAGGCCAAUCAAACCGGGAGAUAGCUGGUUCUCCCCGAAAGCUAUUUAGGUAGCGCCUCGUGAACUCAUCUUCGGGGGUAGAGCACUGUUUCGGCUAGGGGGUCAUCCCGACUUACCAACCCGAUGCAAACUACGAAUACCGAAGAAUGUUAUCACGGGAGACACACGGCGGGUGCUAACGUCCGUCGUGAAGAGGGAAACAACCCAGACCGCCAGCUAAGGUCCCAAAGUCAUGGUUAAGUGGGAAACGAUGUGGGAAGGCCCAGACAGCCAGGAUGUUGGCUUAGAAGCAGCCAUCAUUUAAAGAAAGCGUAAUAGCUCACUGGUCGAGUCGGCCUGCGCGGAAGAUGUAACGGGGCUAAACCAUGCACCGAAGCUGCGGCAGCGACACUAUGUGUUGUUGGGUAGGGGAGCGUUCUGUAAGCCGUUGAAGGUGGCCUGUGAGGGUUGCUGGAGGUAUCAGAAGUGCGAAUGCUGACAUAAGUAACGAUAAUGCGGGUGAAAAACCCGCACGCCGGAAGACCAAGGGUUCCUGUCCAACGUUAAUCGGGGCAGGGUGAGUCGACCCCUAAGGCGAGGCCGAAAGGCGUAGUCGAUGGGAAACAGGUUAAUAUUCCUGUACUCGGUGUUACUGCGAAGGGGGGACGGAGAAGGCUAUGUUGGCCGGGCGACGGUUGUCCCGGUUUAAGCAUGUAGGCGGAUGUUCCAGGUAAAUCCGGAACGUUACUAACGCUGAGGUGUGAUGACGAGGCACUACGGUGCUGAAGUGACAAAUGCCCUGCUUCCAGGAAAAGCCUCUAAGCAUCAGGUAACAUCAAAUCGUACCCCAAACCGACACAGGUGGUCAGGUAGAGAAUACCAAGGCGCUUGAGAGAACUCGGGUGAAGGAACUAGGCAAAAUGGUGCCGUAACUUCGGGAGAAGGCACGCUGAUGGUAAGUGAAGCGACUUGCUCGUGGAGCUGAAAUCAGUCGAAGAUACCAGCUGGCUGCAACUGUUUAUUAAAAACACAGCACUGUGCAAACACGAAAGUGGACGUAUACGGUGUGACGCCUGCCCGGUGCCGGAAGGUUAAUUGAUGGGGUUAUCCGUAAGGAGAAGCUCUUGAUCGAAGCCCCGGUAAACGGCGGCCGUAACUAUAACGGUCCUAAGGUAGCGAAAUUCCUUGUCGGGUAAGUUCCGACCUGCACGAAUGGCGUAAUGAUGGCCAGGCUGUCUCCACCCGAGACUCAGUGAAAUUGAACUCGCUGUGAAGAUGCAGUGUACCCGCGGCAAGACGGAAAGACCCCGUGAACCUUUACUAUAGCUUGACACUGAACACUGGUCCUUGAUGUGUAGGAUAGGUGGGAGGCUUUGAAGUGUGGACGCCAGUCUGCAUGGAGCCAUCCUUGAAAUACCACCCUUUAAUGGCUGGUGUUCUAACGUGGGCCCCUGAUCGGGGUUGCGGACAGUGUCUGGUGGGUAGUUUGACUGGGGCGGUCUCCUCCUAAAGAGUAACGGAGGAGCACGAAGGUCAGCUAAUCCUGGUCGGACAUCAGGAGGUUAGUGCAAUGGCAUAAGCUGGCUUGACUGCGAGCGUGACGGCGCGAGCAGGUGCGAAAGCAGGUCAUAGUGAUCCGGUGGUUCUGAAUGGAAGGGCCAUCGCUCAACGGAUAAAAGGUACUCCGGGGAUAACAGGCUGAUACCGCCCAAGAGUUCAUAUCGACGGCGGUGUUUGGCACCUCGAUGUCGGCUCAUCACAUCCUGGGGCUGAAGUAGGUCCCAAGGGUAUGGCUGUUCGCCAUUUAAAGUGGUACGCGAGCUGGGUUUAGAACGUCGUGAGACAGUUCGGUCCCUAUCUGCCGUGGGCGCUGGAGAAUUGAGGGGGGCUGCUCCUAGUACGAGAGGACCGGAGUGGACGCAUCACUGGUGUUCGGGUUGUCAUGCCAAUGGCAUUGCCCGGUAGCUAAAUGCGGAAGAGAUAAGUGCUGAAAGCAUCUAAGCACGAAACUUGCCCCGAGAUGAGUUCUCCCUGACCCUUUAAGGGUCCUGAAGGAACGUUGAAGACGACGACGUUGAUAGGCCGGGUGUGUAAGCGCAGCGAUGCGUUGAGCUAACCGGUACUAAUGAACCGUGAGGCUUAACCUU